rnacentral:rRNA from 1 species
CAAUGGGCGAAGCCUGAUGCAGCAACGCCGCGUGAGCGAUGAAGGCCUUCGCNGUCGUAAAGCUCUGUCCUCAAGGNAAGAUAAUGACGGUACUUGAGGAGGAAGCCCCGGCUAACUACGUGCCAGCAGCCGCGGUAAUACGUAGGGGGCUAGCGUUAUCCGGAUUUACUGGGCGUAAAGGGUGCGUAGGCGGUCUUUUAAGUCAGGAGUGAAAGGCUACGGCUCAACCGUAGUAAGCUCUUGAAACUGGAGGACUUGAGUGCAGGAGAGGAGAGUGGAAUUCCUAGUGUAGCGGUGAAAUGCGUAGAUAUUAGGAGGAACACCAGUAGCGAAGGCGGCUCUCUGGACUGUAACUGACGCUGAGGCACGAAAGCGUGGGGAGCAAACAGGAUUAGAUACCCUGGUAGUCCAAGGGCGAAUUC